rnacentral:rRNA from 1 species
UAGAGGAAGUAAAAGUCGUAACAAGGUUUCCGUAGGUGAACCUGCGGAAGGAUCAUUACAGUAGUCGCCCGGGUUGCCGCAAGGCCUCCCGGGUAACCUACCACCCUUUGUUUAUUACACUUUGUUGCUUUGGCAGGCCUGCCCUCGGGCUGCUGGCUCCGGCCGGCGAGCGUCUGCCAGAGGACCUAAACUCUGUUUGUCUAUACUGUCUGAGUACUAUAUAAUAGUUAAAACUUUCAACAACGGAUCUCUUGGUUCUGGCAUCGAUGAAGAACGCAGCGAAAUGCGAUAAGUAAUGUGAAUUGCAGAAUUCAGUGAAUCAUCGAAUCUUUGAACGCACAUUGCGCCCCCUGGUAUUCCGGGGGGCAUGCCUGUCCGAGCGUCAUUACAACCCUCAAGCUCAGCUUGGUGUUGGGCCCCGCCGCCCCGGCGGGCCCUAAAGUCAGUGGCGGUGCCGUCCGGCUCCGAGCGUAGUAAUUCUUCUCGCUCUGGAGGCCCGGUCGUGUGCUCGCCAGCAACCCCCAAUUUUUUUCAGGUUGACCUCGGAUCAGGUAGGGAUACCCGCUGAACUUAAGCA